AAGUAGGGGAUCGUAAGACCUUGCGCUUUUGGAGCGGCCGAUGUCUGAUUAGCUAGUUGGUGGGGUAAUGGCCUACCAAGGCUACGAUCAGUAGCUGGUCUGAGAGGACGGCCAGCCACACUGGGACUGAGACACGGCCCAGACUCCUACGGGAGGCAGCAGUGGGGAAUUUUGGACAAUGGGCGAAAGCCUGAUCCAGCCAUGCCGCGUGAGUGAAGAAGGCCUUCGGGUUGUAAAGCUCUUUCAGCCGGGAAGAAAAGGUUGCGACUAAUAAUUGCAAUUCAUGACGGUACCGAAAGAAGAAGCACCGGCUAACUACGUGCCAGCAGCCGCGGUAAUACGUAGGGUGCGAGCGUUAAUCGGAAUUACUGGGCGUAAAGGGUGCGCAGGCGGUUUUGUAAGUCAGAUGUGAAAUCCCCGGGCUUAACCUGGGAACUGCGUUUGAAACUACAAAGCUUAG
rnacentral:rRNA from 1 species